rnacentral:rRNA from 1 species
GAUGAACGCUAGCGGCAGGCCUAAUACAUGCAAGUCGAACGGAUAUAUGUUUUCGGAAUAUAUAUUAGUGGCGCACGGGUGAGUAACACGUACAUAACUUGCCCUCAAGCGGGGGGAUACGCCUUUGGGGAAACCUAGACGAGUAAUACCCCCAUAGAAUUAUUGGACGGCAUCGUUUGAUAAUUAAAACUACGGUGUUUGGGGAUAGAUGUGCGUCUGAUUAGCUAGUUGGUGAGGUAACGGCUUACCAAGGGCGACGUACUCAGUAGGGGGCGUGAGAGCGUGGCCCCCCACACGGGUACUGAGACACGGACCCGACUCCUAC